rnacentral:tRNA from 1 species
GUACAGCUCAGUGGUAGAGCGUGUGCUUAGCAUGCAUGAGGUCCUGGGUUCAAUCCCCAGUAC